rnacentral:rRNA from 1 species
CACUCGCGGAGUAUAGUAGUGUUUAAUAGAUACAGAACCAAUACACCUUUUUUAAAGGGUGUAGAAAAAGGUGAUUCAUAGUAACCGAACGGAUCGCAUUAUAAUCAUUUCGAUGAUUGGCGAUAGAUCAUUCAAGUUUCUGACCUAUCAGCUUUCGACGGUAGUGUAUUGGACUACCGUGGCAGUGACGGGUAACGGGGAAUUAGGGUUCGAUUCCGGAGAGGGAGCCUGAGAAACGGCUACCACAUCUAAGGAAGGCAGCAGGCGCGCAAAUUACCCAAUCCUGACUCAGGGAGGUAGUGACAAGAAAUAACAACACUGGAAAUUCUAUUUCUAGUGAUUGGAAUGAUGGGAAUCCAAACCCCUUUCAGAGUAACAAUUGGAGGGCAAGUCUGGUGCCAGCAGCCGCGGUAAUUCCAGCUCCAAUAGCGUAUAUUAAAGUUGUUGCAGUUAAAAAGCUCGUAGUUGGAUAUCUGCUGGAAGCAAUCAGUCCGCCCUUUUAGUGAGGGUGUGUACUUGAUGAAUUCUGGCAUGAUUAUCUUCCCACUAAUAAUAUUAUUAUAUUAGGUUGAUUCCUAAUAUGGUAAUAAUUAUUUUUGGGAAGACACAGUUAUUUUGAGAAAAAUAGAGUGUUGGAUGCAGGCGUGUUGUCGUGUACAGUGCAGCAUGGUAUAACAAUAUGAUAUCACUGCUCUAUUAUGUUGUUUUCUUAGACUGAUAUAGUGAUGAAUAGACACAUCUGGGGGCAGUCAUAUUAUUCUGUCAGAGGAGAUGUUCUUAUUUGUGUUGGAGAAGAAACACUGCG